GCCCACGUAGCUCAGUCGGUAGAGCACGUUCUUGGUAAGAACGGGGUCAUCGGUUCAAGUCCGAUCGUGGGCUCCA
rnacentral:tRNA from 1 species